rnacentral:rRNA from 1 species
UACGUAGGUGGCAAGCGUUUGUCCGGAUUUAUUGGGUUUAAAGGGUGCGUAGGCGGCUUUGUAAGUCAGUGGUGAAAUAUGGCAGCUCAACUGUCAAGGUGCCAUUGAUACUGCGGAGCUUGAGUACAGAUGAGGUAGGCGGAAUUGACGGUGUAGCGGUGAAAUGCUUAGAUAUCGUCAAGAACACCUAUAGCGAAGGCAGCUUACUAGGCUGUAACUGACGCUGAGGCACGAAAGCGUGGGGAUCAAACAGG